CACGUAGGGUGCGAGCGUUGUCCGGAAUUACUGGGCGUAAAGGGCUCGUAGGCGGCCAACUAAGUCAGACGUGAAAUCCCUCGGCUUAACCGGGGAACUGCGUCUGAUACUGGAUGGCUUGAAUCCGGGAGAGGGAUGCGGAAUUCCAGGUGUAGCGGUGAAAUGCGUAGAUAUCUGGAGGAACACCGGUGGCGAAGGCGGCAUCCUGGACCGGUAUUGACGCUGAGGCGCGAAAGCCAGGGGAGCAAACGGG
rnacentral:rRNA from 1 species